rnacentral:rRNA from 1 species
UACGUAGGGGGCAAGCGUUGUCCGGAAUCAUUGGGCGUAAAGAGCGCGUAGGCGGCCCUGUAAGUCCGCUGUGAAAGUCAAGGGCUCAACCCUUGGAUGCCGGUGGAUACUGCAGGGCUAGAGUCCGGAGGAGGCGAGUGGAAUUCCUGGUGUAGCGGUGAAAUGCGCAGAUAUCAGGAGGAACACCGAUGGCGAAGGCAGCUCGCUGGGACGUUACUGACGCUGAGACGCGAAAGCGUGGGGAGCAAACAGG